rnacentral:sRNA from 12 species
GAGCAGGGAGCGCGGAUAACCUUUGGUCGUCUUUUACGGACGGCAGCCGAUUUUCGGUGGGAUCCAACGGCCCGGACCUGCACCUUUC